AGUGAACGCUGGCGGCGUGCUUAACACAUGCAAGUCGAACGAGAACGGAUUAUAGCUUGCUAUAAUUGUCAGCUAAGUGGCGCACGGGUGAGUAAUGUAUAGGUAAUAUGCCUCUUACUAAGGGAUAACAAAUGGAAACGUUUGCUAAUACCUUAUACUCCUUAUUAACAUAAGUUAAUAAGGGAAAGAUUUAUUGGUAAGAGAUUAGCCUGUAUUGUAUCAGUUAGUUGGUGGGGUAAUGGCUUACCAAGACUAUGACACAUAACUGGUUUGAGAGGAUGAUAAGUCGAACUGGAACUGAGACACGGUCCAGACUCCUACGGGAGGCAGCAGUGGGGAAUAUUGCACAAUGGACGAAAGUCUGAUGCAGCAACGCCGCGUGGAGGAUGACACAUUUCGGUGCGUAAACUCCUUUUAUAUGAGAAGAUAAUGACGGUAUUAUAUGAAUAAGCACCGGCUAACUCCGUGCCAGCAGCCGCCGUAA
rnacentral:rRNA from 1 species